rnacentral:lncRNA from 1 species
GUUAGUCAUUAACUCCUGAUUCUUAAGGUUAGUCAUUAACUCCUGAUUCUUAAGGUUAGUCAUUAACUCCUGAUUCUUAAGGUUAGUCAUUAACUCCUGAUUCUUAAGGUUAGUCAUUAUUAACUCCUGAUUCUUAAGGUUAGUCAUUAACUCCUGAUUCUUAAGGUUAGUCAUUAACUCCUGAUUCUUAAGGUUAGUCAUUAACUCCUGAUUCUUAAGGUUAGUCAUUAUUAACACCUGAUUCUUAAGGUUAGUCAUUAUUAACUCCUGAUUCUUAAGGUUAGUCAUUAACUCCUGAUUCUAAAGGUUAGUCAUUAACUCCUGAUUCUUAAGGUUAGUCAUUAACUCCUGAUUCUUAAGGUUAGUCAUUAACUCCUGAUUCUAAAGGUUAGUCAUUAACUCCUGAUUCUUAAGGUUAGUCAUUAACUCCUGAUUCUAAAGGUUAGUCAUUAACUCCUGAUUCUUAAGGUUAGUCAUUAACUCCUAAGCCUACUUGAAGGUAACAGCUCUCACUGUUGCCCCUAGUGGCCAGUUUCCACAUCUUCUCCUCAGACAUGGGUGAACGUCCAAUACCAUUUUGAAUCGCCGGAAUGUUAAGGGUUCUGCUCUCCUCUGUUGCGACCAAAUGGAAUAAGCUACUGUGCAGUGUGUGUCUGUGUGUGCACUGUGUGUGUGUGUGUGCUGUGUUUGUUCGUGUGUGAGAGAGAAAGGGUGUGAGAGAGAAAGGGUGUGAGAGAGGGAGAGAGAGAGAGGGAGA